UCAUCUCCGUAUGUUCUGUAUCAAGAGAGUAAAGGGAAAGGUGCUUUUCGUUUCAACUCGCUAAUCAUCUGGAAAAGAAGUGAGAAGAAGCAGAAUCAAGCACAAGUGAAUUGUAACGGAAGAGAAACAUUGCCAUUUUUCUUUUGCUAUGGCAUUGCGUGAAGAUACUAAUUUAAGGUGGUUAAAACUGAUGGCGGGAUAUGAACCAGACGUUCAGGUUAGAAAAGCACAACUUUGCACUAUAGACAGCUUAAUGAAUGGUCUAGUAACUCUAUCGGAGGAGCUAGAAUCUUUUGGCCUACCUUCGGUAACUCCAAAGAACGAUGAAAUACAAUCUGUGGGUUCGCUGAAGCUGAUUCUAGUAACAUUAAUUAAUGCGGUAUGGAAUUUUAUUCGUGAACACAGAGGGCUUAUGAGUAUACACGACCAACUAAAGGAUAUACAUCAAAAAGUUGCAAAUGACAAUGUGCAUCUUAAGAAUAAUGUAAAACGACUAAAAGAGGAACUGGAAAAGAAAGUGGUUUUAUUACAUGAAACGAGAGAGAGAGAGAGACGACUCAUUGUUCAACGGGAUAGCAUGUCACGUGAUCUCAAACAUGGAAAAGAUGAGGUGGCGAAGUUAUGGAAACAGUUACAGUCGAAAGAGAAUCAACAUGCCCAUGAGUUACGUCGUAUUCAGCAGAGUGGUCAGAAGCUUCAGCAGCAGUUACAAAAAUCUGUUGGGACGUACGUGCCAAAGGACAAGGCAUGGAAAAAUUUACACGAAGAACACAAAAAGGAAUUAGCUCUGUAUCGACAAACCAUUUGUCAUUUGGAAGAAAAUAAUAGACUGAUGCUACAGGAAAUCAAUGAACUACGAGAGGCCUUAUCUGUACAGUCUGGAGGAAUCGAUCUGGACAUCGAGGCAUCAGGAAUUUGGAACGAUGCCGAAACCUAACUUCGAAAUGGCACCGGAGAAGCGACUUCCUUGAGGAUGUCCUCGCUGUCCUAAGGAUACGACACGAAGAGAUAAUACCCGUUGAACCAAUCCAAUAGCG
rnacentral:misc_RNA from 1 species